UUCACUAAGUUUGUAAUUUGACAGAUAAAUAAAAAAACCAAAGAGAUGCAGAGAUUAUUGUGGCUAAUGACAUUUAUUUUUGUUUUUUCUUCGGCAUAUUCAUCACAAGUGCUCUUACCUAAUCGCAUCAAAUCACCUUAUUUCAAUGAAAAAAUUGGAACACCGCAUAGUAAAUCGCCACCCGCGGCUGGUUGUGAAACACCGCAACAAGCACACACAAGAUCAUCCUGUAAAAGUAAGACGUCCAAAGGCAGGGGUGGUUAGACAUGCAUGUUUGAAAAACUGUUUAUAGUUUGCGUUAACGUUCUGCAGUUAUAAAUGUUAAUAAGUGUUUUUGUGCACCUGAUAUAAUAAAACCAAUGUUGUCAAAGAAAAAGAAAAAGAAAUAAUAAAACCAAUUGUAGCUACGGCUUUUAACCGAGCACAAUCAAAUCGUCUUUUUUUUUUGACAUCGCACGAUCAAAUCCUUUUGAGAGCAUGAUUAUCGCUGUCUUUAGCUAGGGUUCUUAAAGUAAUUAGGAUUAAAAAUAAAUCAAAAAUAGAUGUUAUUAGAAAAAACGUUUCUUAGUUAAGGACAAAAAAAGACGUCUCUUAGAAACACGUGUCUCUCAUUGAAGGGAGUUUAGCUUUUUUCUCUUCAUAUCUUUCUCUCUCGACGGAAGACGAUCUGGAUUCACGGUGGGAAGAAGCCACCGGAGAAGCUGUUGACGAAGUCAUCUUCCUCAGCCGUCACACCACCUUCUCGAACCGUAAUGCUCUGCCUGUUCACCCCAUCGGAGUGCUUCAUCUGAAAGAAGGAGAAUCGCCGCCGCAGGGAGGAAAGCCGGGAUGGGCGGCGUUGCUGUUGACCGUACUAUAGAUAACAUAGCUUUCAGAGGUUGGGUCGAGACUAAUAAUCAAAGUGAUCGGAAGUUUAUUCCUUUACGUAUGAUUCCACAGGAUUUUCUGGACGGAUCAUGUGACCCGAUUUGUUCAGUUGAUGAACCUAGCUCGAGCUACUUUGAAGCGAAUUGUCAUGGUUUCUUUACUCAGGAAACUGGUUCCUCAAUCAGAAUACCGCAAACUUCUAGGAGCUGUUGUGGUGAUAGCAGCAAAUGCAGGAGGAGCAUGGACUCCAAUUGGUGAUGUUACGACAACUAUGCUAUGGAUUCAUGGUCUUGGAGUUCUCUGGGUCUUGACAGAUGCCAUCCACUACGGUGAAUCAGAAAGACAAAAGCUCAAAAUACCUCAAGCCUUAUCCUUCACUAGUAUAGAAUGAAUUAUCCAGUAAGAUUUAUGCGUUUCGAGUUUUUAUGUGUUGUCUGGAAAGUGUAAGACUAGUUUGAGGUAACCAAACUCUUCAAUUGCAGAAAUGUCUCUGAUCUUUUUCAAAGUUU